rnacentral:tRNA from 1 species
GCUCACGUAGCUCAGUCGGCAGAGCGCGUCCUUGGUAAGGACGAGGUCACCGGUUCAAUCCCGGUCGUGAGCUCCA